rnacentral:lncRNA from 1 species
CCAACAUCAUCCUAUCGCUAUGCAUGAUCUUCAGGAUUCCAUCACCAACUCUCCACCUGUAGCCAUUUGAAUCCAGUUUACUCAGUGAGAUAAGAUUUCAUCUGAUUUAGAUAUGUAUCAGAUCCUAUCCAAUCUCCUCACUACACCAUCAUAUGUCCUCCAACUAACUGUCUCGGUUCUUCUGAUCGCAUGCUCGAUCCAUCCGAUAGAUGAACAGUACCCUCACUGCUCUACAGAGAGUCAAACAGCUCCU